AGAGUUUGAUCCUGGCUCAGAAAUCAACGCUGGCGGCGUGCCUAACACAUGCAAGUCGAACGAGAAAGGGGAGCAAUCCCUGAGUACAGUGGCGCACGGGUGAGUAACACGUGACUAACCUACCCUGGAGUGGGGAAUAACUGAGGGAAACCUUAGCUAAUACCGCAUAAUACCUACGGGUCAAAGGAGCAAUUCGCUUCAGGAGGGGGUCGCGCGGCCGAUUGGCUAGUUGGCGGGGUAAUGGCCCACCAAGGCAAUGAUCGGUAUUCCGGCCUGAAAAGGCCCCGGAACCCCUGGGACCGAAACACGGUCCAGACUCCUACGGGAGGCAGCAGUGGGGAAUUUUGCGCAAUGGGGGAAACCCUGACGCAGCAACGCCGCGUGGAGGAUGAAAUCCCUUGGGAUGUAAACUCCUUUCGAUCGGGACGAUUAUGACGGUACC
rnacentral:rRNA from 1 species